rnacentral:rRNA from 1 species
UACAGAGGUGGCAAGCGUUGUUCGGAAUUACUGGGCGUAAAGGGCGUGUAGGCGGUCUUCUAAGUCAGACGUGAAAUCCCCCGGCUUAACCUGGGAACUGCGUCUGAUACUGGGAGGCUUGAGUAUGGGAGAGGGAUGUAGAAUUCCAGGUGUAGCGGUGAAAUGCGCAGAUAUCAGGAGGAACACCGAUGGCGAAGGCAGGUCUCUGGGCCACUACUGACGCUGAGAAGCGAAAGCAUGGGGAGCGAACAGG